rnacentral:antisense_RNA from 1 species
UGUAAUGGUAGCUGUGCGCGGGACACCUGCGGGUGUGCCGGAUCUUUCAGGUAUCUGGUCGGCCAACCCGCACACAGCUGCCACCUUA